rnacentral:lncRNA from 1 species
GGCAUACAGAAUGGAAUAAUGGACAUUGGAGACUCAGAAGGGGGAAGGGUAAGAAGGAAGUAAGGAAUAGAAAACUACUCAUUGGGUACAAAGUGCAGUACUCCGGUGAUGGGUGUACUAAAAUCUUAGACUUCACCACUAUACAAUUCAUCCGUGUAACCAAAAACCACUUAUACUUCUAAAGCUAUUAAAGUAAAAAAAAAAAUUAAAAAAUAACGUGAAUCCCAUUAAAGGGAGAAACAUAAACAUAUAUGUAAAUGUGUUGUGAGUGGGUAUGUGUGUAUAUUCUAGAAGGAUGUAUAUUAACAAGCUAAAAGAGUUAUCUCUGAGUUGAGAGGCAGGUUUUGUUUUAUUUGGUAUAAACUGGUUAUACAAAAAAGGGUAGAUAUUAAUCUUCAACUAUCAGAACCAUGAAGACACUACUUUCAUUCUUAAUCAUAAACCACGUAUAUACACAGAAUGGGACUGUACUUUUUAAAUUUAUUUUUUUAUAAGGGCAAAUAUUACUAUGGUACUUAUUGUCAUACAAGAAAGUGACCACUGAAGGGUACACAGAAUUUGUCAUAUUGUUAAAUGUAAUAUGCCUUCUUUUCUUCUUCUAAAUAAAAAUAUAGGAAAGCUUGAGCAAGUUUGAGCAACUCACAGAAUCUUAGCCACUGAAAUCCUACACUAGCACAUUGUUGUGAAGGUUUGAAAAAUAAAUGAGCUGUCUGUGUGUUCUUCCUUGAGGAGGUAUAAAUGUGAGUGUUGCCAAACACAAUCUACAUAAAGAUUGUUGGUUGUAAAGGGUGAUGGAGAUCUCCAGCUGUGGGGAGACUGCUGAAGCACUCUGAAGGAACUAGAAGCAAGUACCUACUCAUUUGCAAGACCCAGCAACGGAAGCAUCAUAUGCUAUAUUAAGGUUAUGCUGUCCUGAGUCCCCAAAAGCAGCUAAUUGUGCUCUGUUUAGACAGACAUUUCUCCCAGUACCACUAACACUUUGUCACUCAAAUUUGCUUAUCUCCCUCUCCUGGACUCUUUGAGGAUACAAUCUGUAUCUUAAUUGCCUAUGACCACUCAGAAUCUAACUUAGUCCCAGGCACAUACUAUCUGUUCCAUAAAUUUACUGAACAAAUGAAUGAAUUACAUAGCAGAUAACACAUUGAUUUUGAUAAGAGAAAAAAAUACUAACAGGCAAUUUUCAGAGGAGAAAACACAAAUGCUUAGUAAGCAUAGGAAAGAUGCUCAAAUUUACAAGUUUCAGGAAAAUGAAACACACACACACACACACAACACCAAGAAACCAAUGAUUUAAAGUGUCAAAGGUGGAAAAGAUGGAUAACUUCGAGUGUUGGCCAGGAUGUGUGGAAUACUACAGAAUUAGUAGGAAAAUGAAAUAUUACUACUGUUCUUGCAAGCAAUUUGAUAAGUCAUUAAAAUGUAAAAUGUGCAUACUCUUUGACCUAGAAACUUCUGGGAAUUUAUAUGGCAGAAGUAAAAGUGCAGCACAUCAGGAUUAAUACACAAGUUUAUUUAUUACAGAAUUGUUUUAGUAGCAGUUUCUCCCUAAACAAACAAAACAAGAUGACAACAAACAUACAAACAAAAACACUUCUGGAAAACGAAAUCCUUAUCAAUAAAAUAAUCAGUAUAUAAAAUUAUGACAUAUCUAUAUUGUGGAAAAAUACAGAGAAUGAAGUACACCUACGUACAAUGAUACAGAUUAAAAUACAUGUAUAUCUUCUUAUUCAAGCAAAAGAGAAAUCUGGAAAGAUAACAUUUUCAGAGGAGAGAAGACUGAUUUUGCUUCUUAUACUUAUAAAGAAUUUAAAUUGUUUUUUAAAUGUUUUAAAGUAAAUAGCUGUUUAAUAUGUGGAAAAAUACAGAAACUAUGACACUUGUCUACCCAUCUCUUAAGUAUAUAAAAUGGCAAUAUUUUGACAUAUUUUCUUCAGCUCUCUUUUUCAAAAGCGAGUCGUGUCACACAGAUAAAGUCAUUUCACCCACAUCCCUGUUCAAUUUCCUCCUCCCACUCUCCCCAGAG